rnacentral:rRNA from 1 species
GACGAACGCUGGCGGCGUGCUUAACACAUGCAAGUCGAACGAAGAGCGAUGGAAGCUUGCUUCUAUCAAUCUUAGUGGCGAACGGGUGAGUAACGCGUAAUCAACCUGCCCUUCAGAGGGGGACAACAGUUGGAAACGACUGCUAAUACCGCAUACGAUCUAAUCUCGGCAUCGAGGAGAGAUGAAAGGUGGCCUCUAUUUAUAAGCUAUCACUGAAGGAGGGGAUUGCGUCUGAUUAGCUAGUUGGAGGGGUAACGGCCCACCAAGGCGAUGAUCAGUAGCCGGUCUGAGAGGAUGAACGGCCACAUUGGGACUGAGACACGGCCCAGACUCCUACGGGAGGCAGCAGUGGGGAAUCUUCCGCAAUGGACGAAAGUCUGACGGAGCAACGCCGCGUGAGGGAUGACGGCCUUCGGGUUGUAAAGCUCGGUUAAUCGGGACGAAAGGCCUUCUUGCGAACAGUUAGAAGGAUUGACGGUACCGGAAUAGAAAGCCACGGCUAACUACGUG